rnacentral:rRNA from 1 species
GAUGAACGCUAGCUACAGGCUUAACACAUGCAAGUCGAGGGGCAGCAUGGUCUUAGCUUGCUAAGGCCGAUGGCGACCGGCGCACGGGUGAGUAACACGUAUCCAACCUGCCGAUAACUCGGGGAUAACCCUUCGAAAGAAGGCCUAAUACCCGAUGGCAUAUCCCUUCCGCCUGGUUGGGAUAUUAAAGAACUUCGGUUAUCGAUGGGGAUGCGUUCCAUUAGCUUGUUGGCGGGUGACGGCCCACCAAGGCUUCGAUGGAUAGGGGUUCUGAGAGGAAGGUCCCCCCACAUUGGAACUGAGACACGGUCCAAACUCCUACGGGAGCAGCAGUGAGGAAUAUUGGGUCAAUGGGACGAGAGUCUGAACCAGCCAAGUAGCGUGAAGGAUGAAGGUCCUAUGGAUUGUAAACUUCUUUUAUACGGGAAUAAAGUGCAGUAUGCAUACUGUUUUGUAUGUACCGUAU